rnacentral:tRNA from 1 species
GGGGUUGUAGCUAAGUGGUAGAGCGUUCACUUUGCACGCGAAAAGUCUGAAGUUCAAACCCCUCAGCUCCA